rnacentral:rRNA from 1 species
UCAUUGCUGGAACAAACACCCUCACGGGCGUUACCCAGAAACCCUUUGUGAAUACUACCUAAAAAUGUUGCCUCGGCAUUGGUUGGCCUCUUUGGAGGCCCCUUCUUUCGGGAAGGAGCAGACCGGCCGGUGGCCCUAUAAAUUCUUGUUUUUGUACUAUCAUCUGAGUAAAACAACUAAAAUGAAUCAAAACUUUCAACAACGGAUCUCUUGGUUCUGGCAUCGAUGAAGAACGCAGCGAAAUGCGAUAAGUAAUGUGAAUUGCAGAAUUCAGUGAAUCAUCGAAUCUUUGAACGCACAUUGCGCCCGGUGGUAUUCCACCGGGCAUGCCUGUUCGAGCGUCAUUUCAACCCUCAAAGCCUUGGCUUUGGUGUUGGAGGAAUACCUUGUAAAAAGGGUACCCUCUGAAAUUUAGUGGCGGGCUCGCUAGAAUUUUGAGCGUAGUAAUUUUACCUCGUUUUUAAAGACUAGUGGGACUUCUUGCCGUAAAACCCCCCAACUUUCUGA